CGCACACAUGGAGGCCAGAAGGAAUCCUCUCACGGGGCUAAAAGCAGGUGGACUGAACCAGAUGAUCUUGACCAUUGCCUCACCGCAGAAACAUGCAUCCGACUGGACUUGAUUCUGUACUUGUGACCUUGUGAUUCACAAAAGAGAAAAAGAGAGACGACGAAUGAAAAGGAAGCCGGCAGCCAUAUAGAAGACUUGACAAAGGAACAAGUUUAGACGGACACAUCCUGAGAUUGAAAUCAGAGAUCCUGGGGGAGUUCCUGGUGGCUACGUAGUAUGGAACAGUCCCAAAGGAGCCCGCGAUGAAAGGCUGAACCCGUCACAUUCCACUGGGAUCAAAGGUUUUUAGGUUCUGUCUUUUUAGCUCUCGGAGGAGGUUUUGGCAUCACAUCAGUAAUCCGUCAUCAUGAC